AACGAACGCUGGCGGCAUGCCUAACACAUGCAAGUCGAACGAGACCUUCGGGUCUAGUGGCGCACGGGUGCGUAACGCGUGGGAACCUGCCCUUAGGUUCGGAAUAACUCCCCGAAAGGGGUGCUAAUACCGGAUAAUGUCUUCGGACCAAAGAUUUAUCGCCUUUGGAUGGGCCCGCGUUGGAUUAGCUAGUUGGUAGGGUAAAGGCCUACCAAGGCUACGAUCCAUAGCUGGUCUGAGAGGAUGAUCAGCCACACUGGGACUGAGACACGGCCCAGACUCCUACGGGAGGCAGCAGUGGGGAAUAUUGGACAAUGGGCGAAAGCCUGAUCCAGCAAUGCCGCGUGAGUGAUGAAGGCCUUAGGGUUGUAAAGCUCUUUUACCCGGGAUGACAAUGACAGUACCGGGAGAAUAAGCUCCGGCUAACUCCGU
rnacentral:rRNA from 1 species